rnacentral:rRNA from 1 species
UUAGAGUUUGAUCAUGGCUCAGAUUGAACGCUGGCGGCAUGCUUUACACAUGCAAGUCGAACGGCAGCACGGGCUUCGGCCUGGUGGCGAGUGGCGAACGGGUGAGUAACGCAUCGGAACGUGCCCAUGUCGUGGGGGAUAACGUAGCGAAAGCUACGCUAAUACCGCAUACGCCCUGAGGGGGAAAGCGGGGGAUUCUUCGGAACCUCGCGCGAUUGGAGCGGCCGAUGUCGGAUUAGCUAGUAGGUGAGGUAAAGGCUCACCUAGGCGACGAUCCGUAGCGGGUCUGAGAGGAUGAUCCGCCACACUGGGACUGAGACACGGCCCAGACUCCUACGGGAGGCAGCAGUGGGGAAUUUUGGACAAUGGGGGCAACCCUGAUCCAGCCAUGCCGCGUGAGUGAAGAAGGCCUUCGGGUUGUAAAGCUCUUUCGGCCGGGAAGAAAUCGGCGACUCUAACAUAGUCGCUGGAUGACGNGUACCGGACUA